AGAAAGGUAUGCGCCCUUAUACAGAAUGAAAUAACUACUUUAUUAUACCAAUUGUAAACGCAUAAAAUCCGCAGUCUACUCAUUUCCAUGUUAAUGAUAAAUGGUUAUCCUUUAACGGUUCUUUCUAAUGGUGGGACAUUUCCAUUCACAGCCAAGCCUGCGUCCUGAUUAGAAUGUGAGUGUGCUGCAAAAAAAAACAACAACAAUAGAUUAAGCACAACAAAUUAUUAGAGUUUUCAAAUAUUAACAUAAUCUUCGCUAUUUGAAAAAUCGUGGCGUACGAAUAUACCUCUUCUUAAAAUUUAGGGACGUAAAAUAUGUUGAGAAGCACUGGCUUACGGUAAGUCGCGAAAUUGGGAAUCCGACUCGAUAUCGAGAGUGGUUGAGACGAUCGGCACGAUUCCAAAAAGCAGGCAAUCCCCGAUAAUCUCGAAAUAACGAGAACCUCGUCCCCUCUCUUGCAGCAUCCGCGAAGACGCGUCGCGGUUCUGUUUUCCGUCUUCGUCGCGCGAACGACGCGACAGUCGUCCCCUCUCCUUCUCACCCACGGCUACACGAUCGCCGAUAUUUUUGGUCGUGGCGCGACGAAGACGCGAAGAUAGUCGCGCGCGUGCGAGCAAAGGAGACGGUCGCUCGAGGGAAAAAGGACAGUCGAGAAUCGAGAAGGAGAAAGGAUACGCGGAUGCACGAGAAAGAAAAGGAUGGAACGACGAAACAAGGAGAGCGAGAGCAUCAUCGUGAAAACGGUUAGCGCCGUCGGCGUAACCUGAGAGCUUCUCGGACCCCGCGACCAUAUAUGUCCGCCUCUCGCUCUCUCUCGCUCGCGCCGAUCGCAAGCACAUCGCGCCAUCUUGCUUUCACCUACAGUUGGAAACUAAUCUUUUUGGCGGUCUCCUCGUUCGCUUUUUUUUUCAUCACGACGCCCUAUACGAUCCACCUCGACGCUGUUAAUUUACUGGGAAAUGAGUCAAAAUUCUGUCUGCCCCUGCUUCACGCCAAUCUCUACCAUUCUAAAGGAUUUAUAAACGAAAUGUAAUUGUAAAUCGUACAUCAACUUUGAUAAUCCAUAAAGGGACAACAUAUUUGAUGUAGUAAUAGCAGCGUAAAGAAUCUGAAACAGGCAUCGCAAACGAUUAACAAGGUUAAGUAACAUUCGAAUCGAAUUUUAGAAUGAAUAAUCAGCACGUUAUCUCAAACCACCUGAUGUUGAAGGUUAAACCGUUUAAAUUAAUUUAUGUUUCGAUUUUUGUAUGAACUCUGCUCUCGAUCGAUAAAUUAGGGACGACUAAAUGCUGCUAUGCGGCGCCACUUACUCGAUGGCGGAGUUGUAGUUCCUGUUCUCACCGUAAGAGCUGUUCCUAACCGACUCUACUUUAAAAAUUCUCGCGAAAUAAAUAUAAACCCGAGGACUCUCUCCACCUUAUAUUCAACUAUACAAAACUAUAGAAGUCUAAACCGAGACGACAGGAAUUUCCCUCAACCUAAAAAAAGAACUUCGUUCAUCCGACCUGUUGAAUGCUUGAGCAUACUUCGUCAUACUGGCUCCUGUUUAACGAGGUGACGAGAAAUAAAGGCAACAAACACGAGGAACACGAUGCAUUGGCCGGCCCGAUUCCUUCCAGGAGGGGGAUCCCCGUUAUCUGCAUAGGUAUUCAGCCGUGGACGCGACAGUGUCUUUUUGGCACGCUUUCUUCGAAAAAACGCUUCAACCCGAAGACACGGAAAUCGAAUAAGAGCGGAUAACGGACUUUUAAGAAUUCUUACAAAGUUUCCACUUUAAGAACGAUGGGAAGGUGCUGAAAAUUUACUGGAGUCGUAGAGGUAUUCCUUUGUUUAAAAUAUAUGGAGGUCGCAAUUUUGCUUAACACGUUGUUCGCCACGUCACCCAUAUAUGGGUGACAGAGCUUUUCACUGAAGAGCUCAAAAAAUUGAUUCCAAAAGGUGAGUAUCAAAGAAAACGAAUUUUAAUGAAAUUCUUGAAUUUCGAUAACGACGCGAAAAUAAAUACCACAAUAAAUGU